UGCGAAAUUUCUAUGCACUCUGGGUACUC
rnacentral:piRNA from 1 species